AACCAAACACUUUGCAGUUCUCGCGUGAACGAGUAAGAACUCAGAACGAGUGAUAUGGAAUCCAGCGAACAAUGCGCCCUCCUGCCUGAGGCUGAGCCGUCCACCGGCUCCAAAUCCGGUGGCCGCGGCGGGUGGCCGGCCGCGUUCUUCCUCCUCGCGGCUGUGUUCGCCGAGCGCGUCGGGUUCAACGGCGUGCAGGGCAACCUGAUCAUGUACCUCACCGGCCAGCUGGGCAUGUCCACGGCGGCGGCGGCCGCCGGCGUGAACGCGUGGGGAGGGACCGCGUUUAUGCUGCCACUACUCGGCGCGCUCGCCGCCGACUCGUGGAUCGGCCGGCCCCGCGCCGUCGUGGCCUCCGGCGUUCUCUAUCUCCUGAGCCUUGGCAUGCUGACGGUCUCAUCCAUGGUAGCACCACCACAAGCGACAAUGGUGUGCCAGGAUACAGCCGCCGUGUGCUCGUCGCCGGCGGCAGCACCGGCGGGCCGCGUGGCGUUCUGCUACGUCGCGCUGUACCUGCUUGCGCUCGGGCAGGGCUUCCACAGGCCGUGCGUGCAAGCCAUGGGCGCCGACCAGUUCUCGGAGAGCAACCCAGGCGGGCUCGCGUCGCGGAGCUCCUUCUUCAACUGGAUCAACUUCGCCGUGUCGUGUGGCUACGUUCUCUCAACCGCCGGGAUCAGCUACGUGCAGGACAACGUCAGCUGGGGCAUCGGGUUCGGCGCGUGCUGGGCCAUGAUGCUCGUGUCGUUGUUCGUCUUCUUGCUCGGCACGGGAACCUACCGCCCGGAGCAACCGCGAACGUUCGCCGAGACGCAGGCUGCAAAUGCCAUCGCCAUUGACAUGUUCUACCGGCGCAGCUUGCCCACGCCGCCGAGAGGCCAUGGCGAUGACAAGGGGAUUGUCGCUAGGCUGCUUCCCAUAUGGAUGACCACCGUGAUGUACGCGGUGGUGUAAUCUCAGGUGGCCACCCUUUUCACAAAGCAGGGCAGCACCAUGGACCGGCGCAUCGUCAUCGGCACGGGCGGCGGCGGCGGCGUCCUACUCGUCCCGCCGGCGGCGCUGAAGAGCUUGGUCAGCUUCGCCGUCAUGGUCACCAUCCCGGCCUACGACCGCGCCCUGGUGCCGCUCGCGAGGCGCGUCACCAAGCACCCCUCCGGGAUCACGACGCUGCGGCGCGUCGGCACGGGCAUGGUCACGGCGUGCCUCGCCAUGGCCGUCGCGGCGCUGGUCGAGGCCGCGCGGCUCCGCGCCGCCAGGGACGCCGGCCUCCUGGACGAGCCGGGCGUCGCGGUGCCAAUGAGCGUGUGGUGGCUGGCGCCGCAGUUCGUCCUGCUCGGCGUCGCCACCACGUUCACCAUGGUCGGCCUCGAGGAGUUCUUCUACGACCAGGUGCCCGACGAGCUCCGCAGCGUCGGCGUGGCAGCGUGCAUGAGCGUCGUCGGCGUGGGGAGCUACGCGAGUGGCAUGCUCGUGUCGGCGACGAGGAGUAGGGGAGAGAGCUGGUUCUCCGACAAUCUCAACCGUGCUCACCUUGACUACUUCUACUGGCUUUUGGCCGGAAUUAGUGCUUUAGAUGUGCUGGUGUUCUUGUAUUUUGCAAAGGGUUAUGUCUACACUAAGAACAAAGUCUUAUCAAUAUAUAUAGGUAUCCAAGCAUUUGUCCACAUCAAAGCAUUAGAGAGGGAGUGCCACAGUGUCACCGUGCUAGCCAUGGAGUCCGGUCUCCUUGCACAUUCCGACGAGCCAUGCGACGCCGGCUCCAAGCCCGACGCCGACGCCGACGGCCGCCGCGGCGGGUGGCGCGCCGCGCGCUUCCUCAUCGCCGUCGGGUUCCUGGAGCGCGUCGGGUUCAACGGCGUGCAGAGCAACCUGGUGAUGUACCUGGCCGGGCCGAUGGGCAUGUCGACGGCGGCGGCCGCCGCCGGCGCGAACGCGUGGGCCGGGACGGUGCUGGUGCUGACGCUCGUCGGCGCGCUUGCCGCCGACUCGCGCCUCGGGCGGUACCGGGCCAUCGUGGCCGCCGGCGUGCUCCACCUGCUGAGCUUGGGGAUGCUGACGAUCUCAUCAGUGACGCGAGCAACGCACCCACACCCGGUGAGCUGCCAUGACGCAGCCACCGCCUGCUCCCCGCCGGCGGAGGCGGCGGCGGCGCCGCCAUCAACCGCCCGCCUCGCCUUCUUCCACGCCGCGCUCUACCUCCUUGCGCUGGCGCAGGGCUUCCACAACCCGUGCUCGGAGGCCUUCGGCGCCGACCAGUUCGCGCCGCCGAGCGACCCCGGCGCGCGCGCGUCGCGGAGCUCCUACUUCAACUGGUACCACUUCUUCAAUUCCUGCGGCUACGCCAUCUCCAACAGCGCGCUCAGCUACGUCGAGGACAGCGUGAGCCGCACUCGGGUUCGCCGCGUGCUUGGCCAUGACGGCGGUGUACCUCCCCGUCUUCUUGCUCGGCACGGGGACGUACCGCGCCGAGCAACCCGUCCACGGCGGCGGCGCCACCCUCGCGCGGCUCGCCGAGUCGUCCUCCUUGGCUGCGCGUGCGUGGACGGCGAGAGCGUUUGGGCGCAAGGACGCCAUUUGAACAGAACGGCUUCUGGCGAAAGAAGAGGUAGAACAUGGCAAGGGAUUAUUCGUCAAGCUGCUUCCGAUCUGGCUGACCAGCAUAGUGUUCGCCGCCGUCGUGUCGCAGCAGAGCACGCUGUUCACAAAGCAGGGCAGCACGAUGGACAGGCGCGUCGGGGGCAUCGUCGUGCCGGCCGCGGCGCUGAAUUGCGUCGUCAGCUUCACGAUGAUCACGCUGGUGCCGGUGUACGACCGCGCCGUCGUGCCACUCGCGAGGCGCUUCACGGGCCACCCCGCGGGCGUCACCACGCUCCAGCGCGUCGGCGCCGGCAUGGCCACAUCCUGCCUCGCCAUGGUCGUGGCGGCGCUCGUCGAGGCCAGGCGGCUCCGCGCCGCGAGCGACGCCAGCCUGGUCGACCGGCCGGGCGCGACGGUGCCGAUGGGCGUCUGGUGGCUGGUGCCGCAGUACCUCCUCGUCGGCCUCGCGAAGGUGUUCGGAGACAUCGGGCUCGACGAGUUCUUCUACGACCAGGCGCCCGACGGCCUGCGCAGCGUCGGGCUCGCCAUGUCCCUGAGCGUGCUCGGCGUCGGGAACUACGUCAGCGGCGUGCUCGUGUCGGUGAUCGACACGGCGACGAGGAGCGGAGGAGAGAGCUGGUUCUCCGACGACCUCAACCGUGCUCACCUCGACUACUUCUACUGGAUCCUUGCCGCAUUCGCCGCUUUGGAGGUCGUCGUGUUUGUCUACAUUGCAAAGCGAUAUAUCUACAAGAACAAAGGAGAGCCCUGA